rnacentral:rRNA from 1 species
CAGCAGUAGGGAAUAUUGCGCAAUGGGGGAAACCCUGACGCAGCCACGCCGCGUGAGUGAGGAAGGCCUUCGGGUUGUAAAGCUCUGUCACCUGGGAAAAACGGCUAUUAGGGGAAAGUUCUAGUAGCGUGAUGGUACCAGGGGAGGAAGCACCGGCAAACUCUGUG